AGGGGACCGCGGCCGAUUAGCUAGUUGGCGGGUAAUGGCCCACCAAGGCGACGAUCGGUAGCCGGCCUGAGAGGGUGAUCGGCCACACCGGAACUGAGACACGGUCCGGACUCCUACGGAGGCAGCAGUGGGGAAUUUUGCGCAAUGGGCGAAAGCCCUGACGCAGCAACGCCGCGUGGAGGAUGAAGGUGCUCUGCAUUGUAAACUCCUGUCGGCCGGGAAGAAUCGGCGGGGUGCUAAUCAGCCCCGUCUUGACUGUACCGGCAAAGGAAGCCCCGGCUAACUCCGUG
rnacentral:rRNA from 1 species